AGAGUUUGAUCCUGGCUCAUGAUGAACGCUAUCGCGCAGGCUUAACACAUGUGCAAGUCAGGGACGGUAGCAAUACUGGACCGGCAAAAAGGGUGCGGAACACGUACGCAACUUACCAAACAAAGGUAUAGCCUUCUGAAAAGGAGAUUAAUACACCGUAAGAUAUAGUGAUGGCAUCAUUGUUAUAUAAUAGCUAAGGCGGUUUUGGAUGGGCGUGCGCCUGAUUAGGUAGUUGGUGGCAGGUACGGCUCACCAAGCCAACGAUCAGUAACUGGUGUGAGAGCACGAACAGUCACACGGGCACUGAGACACGGCGCCCCGACUCCUACGGGGAGGCAGCAGUGAGGAAUAUUGGUCAAUGGACGCAAGUCUGAACCAGCCAUUGCCGCGUGAAGGAUGAAAGGCGUUUCUGCGUUGUAAAAACUUUCUUUUAUCUGGGAAGAAACCACCUUUUUCUAAGGGUGUCCGACGGUACCAGAUGGAAUAAGCACCGGCUAACUCCGUGCCAGCAGCCGCGGUAAUACGGAGGGUGCAAGCGUUAUCCGGAUUCACUGGGUUUAAAGGGUGUGUAGGCGGUAUUAAGUCAGUGGUGAAAUCUCCGAGCUCAACUCGGAAACUGCCAUUGAUACUAUUUAUCUUGAAUAUUUGAGGUAGGCCGGAAUAUGUCAAUGUAGCGGUGAAAUGCUUAGAAUAUGACAUUUUAGAACACCGAUUGCGAAGGCAAGCUUGCUAAACAAUUAUUGACGCUUGAGGCACGAAAGCGUGGGGAAUCAAACAGGAUUAGAAUACCCUGUAGUCCACGCCUAAACGAUGAUUACUGGACAUUUGCGAUAUACAGUGAGUGUCUGAGCGAAAAGCAUUAAGUAAUCCACCUGGGAAGUACGUCCGCAAAGGAUGAAACUCAAUAGGAAUUGACGGGGGUCCGCACAAGCGGUGGAGUAUUGUGUGUUUAAUUCGAUGAUACGCGAUGAACCUUACCUGGGCUAGAAUGCGCGUGAACCGGUUCUGAAAGGAACUCUUGCCUAGCAAUAACACAAAGCAAGGUGCUGUGCAUGGCUGUCGUCAGCUCGUGCCGUGAGGUGUUGGGGUUAAGUCCCGCAACGAGCGCAAACCCCUAUUUCAGUUGCCAACAGGGUAAUGGUGGAACUCUGAAGAAACUGGCCGCCGUAAGGCGUGAGAAGGAGGGAAUGAUGUCAAUGAUCAUCAUGGCCUUUAUGCCCAGGCUACACACGUACUACAAUGGGGAGGACAAAGGGUCGCUAAACCUGGCAACAGGAUGCUAAAUCGUUCAAAAACCUUCUCUCAGUUCGGAUUGGGGUCUGCAACUCGACCCCAUAGAGCUGGAAUCGCUAGUAAUCGUAGAUCAGCAAUGGCUACGGUGAAUACGUUCCCGGACCUUGUACAGACAAACCGCCCGUCAAGCCAUGGAAAGUGGGUGUACCUAAAGUCGGUAACCGCAAGGGAGCCGGCCUAGGUAAAACUAGUAACUGGGGCUAAGUCGAAACAAGGUAGCCGUAACCGGAAGGUGC
rnacentral:rRNA from 1 species